UGAGGGGAGGAGUCUCGAAUUAUGUGGCCUGAAGGACCAAAGUUGGAGACAGCAAGCUCUAGUCAGGGAACUCAGGCCACUGCCCCUGCCUUGCUAUCUUUUUUUUUUUUUUUAAGGUUUAUUUAUUUAUUUAUUCAUGGGAGACACAGAGAGAGGCAGAGACACAGGCAGAGGGAGAAGCAGGCUCCCUGCAUGGAUCCCGAUGUGGGACUCGAUCCCGGGACCCCAGGGUCAUGCCCUGAGCCGAAGGCAGACGCUCAACUGCUGAGCCACCCAGGCGUCCCCCAUCUUUUUUUUUUUUUAACGAUUUUAUUUAUUUAUUGAGAGAGAGUGUGUGAGCGAGAGAGAGGAAGCACAAGCAAGGAGAAGCAGCAGAGACUCCCGGCUGAACAGGGAGCUGGGCCCGGAGCUCCAUCCCAGGACCCUGACACCAUGACCUGAGCCGAAGACAAAUGCUUGGCCGAUUGAGCCACCCAGGUGCCCCUGCCGUGUCAUCUUUCAAAACACCUCAUUUUCCUCUGCCCUUCGGGAGACUGUAACAUCCUGCAGGUGUAAGUCUGAGAUCUUUACUGAUUUCUCCUCCGGUUACAACAAGCAGUGAUUCUUGUAUUUCUGAUGAAGUCUCAGGAUCUAGACACCAGGAGCUCAAUGCGUAUUUACUGAAAGGACGCAUAGAUGGAAGGGUGGAUGACAUGCUGGCUCCUCACCCAGACCACGUAACGCAGCUGUAUAAUCUGGCUACGGUGCCCCAGGUCGAUGGCCAAGUUAGAUCUCAUCACGAAAAGCCAAAUUCCAGUCGUGAUUUUUAAAAUACCAAGAUGGUCACGCAAGGAUCAUCAGAGAAGCCUUUGCAGACGUUGGUCUACGUUAGAGGAAAAGAUCAAACAAAGAAUGGGAAGAGCAGAGAUAAAGGCGGAAAGGUGGGAAAAUAUGCCUUGUCCAUUCGAUCCAGGGUCAGAGGACAGGAGCUCAGGUAAGCCAGACGCUGUGGGCCUUCGUCUUUCCCUGCGUCAGGCUAUGAAGAUGAGGUUAAAGGGGCCAGUUUCAGGCAUACGCAGGACACAACUGAGCACUCUCUUCUGCCCCAACAUCGAGUCUCACUUUUAUUCCACUCAGAGUAGAGAGAGGGCUACAGAUGCCCUUUCUGCCACCAGAAUUGUUUGCAUUUUAAGGUACUGUUUGGAGGCAAAAGAAAGAAUACAAGAAGUCAAAACCAAGACGCAAACGCCAGGGGAGAAGAGCUAAGUGGGAGAAGCUUUCAAGUUGGAGAGGGAAGAAGGUCACCUUACAACUUAAAUGAAUUCCCACUUGCCGCAACUUCUCCUCAUCCUAAUGUGUCCAAAUGUGUCCUAAUGUCUCCUCAUCCUAAUGUGUGAUUUAAUCUUCCUGUAGCCAUAUUAUAUAAUACAGUCACAUUUUGUAGAAGAGUAAGAACACUGUGAAACAGAGAAUAGUCCAGAAAAGAUAGAUGACGUAGGGGAAUGAAAAUGGCACAGUAUCAAGUGCGAAGUUGUAGAUAAUCACCCCCUCCUCUGCUUUUCACUGCGAAUAACAGGCCAGAGGUCAAAGCUUAUAUACAAAAUUCAUAGUUUCAUACAAGUGGGAGCUGUGUAGGCAAACAUUAGUUUUCAAAAAAAGGUGAAAGAAAACGGGACAGGCUUUGGAAAAACUAUAUUCCUGUGGUUGUACACAUAAAUUUCAGCUGACACCAAAAGUAUGAGGAUCUCAUACUUGCACUAAUAUUUUCGGUGAAGAAUUUUAUUAAGAGAUAUUAAGGACAUGUAGGCUUACCUUCAUACAGGCUUUAUUUUUUUUUCUUUCAAGAUUUUAUUUAAAUUCUAGUUAGUCAACAUAUAGCGUGGUAUUAGUUUCAGGCGUAGAAUUUAGUGAUUCAUCACUUACGUACAACACCCUGCGUCAUCACGAGUUCCCUCCUUAAUGCCCAUCACCCGUUUACUUCAAUCCCCACAUCCCCUCCAGCAACUCUCAGUUCAGUUCCUAGACUUAAUAGUCUCUUAGAGUUUGCCUCCUGCUCUGUUUUUAUAUUUUUAAAAAUUUUUCCUUCCCUUCCCCUUAUGUUCAUCUGUUUUGUUUCUUUAAUUCUACGUAUGAGUAAAAUCAUAUGGCAUUUGUCUUUCUCUGACUGACAUAUUUUGCUCAGCAUAAUACCCUCUAGUACCAUCUAUGUUGUUGCAAAUGAUAAGAUUUCAUUCUUUCUGAUGGCUGAGUAAUAUUCCAUUGUAUA
rnacentral:lncRNA from 12 species